rnacentral:misc_RNA from 1 species
GAAAUGCGAUAAGUAAUGUGAAUUGCAGAAUUCAGUGAAUCAUCGAAUCUUUGAACGCACAUUGCGCCCCUUGGUAUUCCAUGGGGCAUGCCUGUUCGAGCGUCAUUUGUACCUUCAAGCUUUGCUUGGUGUUGGGUGUUUGUCUCGCCUCUGCGUGUAGACUCGCCUCAAAACAAUUGGCAGCCGGCGUAUUGAUUUCGGAGCGCAGUACAUCUCGCGCUUUGCACUCAUAACGACGACGUCCAAAAGUACAUUUUUACACUCUUGACCUCGGAUCAGGUAGGGAUACCCGCUGACGUUAAGC